rnacentral:rRNA from 1 species
UACGGGGGGAGCAAGCGUUGUUCGGAUUUACUGGGCGUAAAGGGCGCGUAGGCGGCCACCGCAAGUCGACUGUGAAAUCUCCGGGCUUAACCCGGAAAGGUCAGCCGAUACUGCGGGGCUAGAGUGCAGAAGGGGCAACUGGAAUUCUCGGUGUAGCGGUGAAAUGCGUAGAUAUCGAGAGGAACACCGGUGGCGAAAGCGGCGUACUGGGGCUUAACUGACGCUGAGGCACGAAAGCCAGGGGAGCGAACGGG